rnacentral:rRNA from 1 species
AUCAACGAGAGUUUGAUCCUGGCUCAGAAUCAACGCUGGCGGCGUGCCUCAGACAUGCAAGUCGAACGAUUAAAGCUCUCUUCGGAGAGUGUAUAGAGUGGCGCACGGGUGAGUAACACGUAAGUAAUCUACCCUCGAGUGGGGAAUAACAGUCGGAAACGACUGCUAAUACCGCAUAAUGCAGCGGCACCGCAAGGUGACAGUUGUUAAAGGAGUAAUUCGCUUGAGGAGGAGCUUGCGGCAGAUUAGCUUGUUGGUAAGGUAACGGCUUACCAAGGCUACGAUCUGUAUCCGGUCUAAGAGGACGGUCGGACACACUGACACUGAAUAACGGGUCAGACUCCUACGGGAGGCAGCAGUCGGGAAUUUUGGGCAAUGGGCGAAAGCCUGACCCAGCAACGCCGCGU